GACGCCUCUAGUCAGAAUCCGGGCCAGAAGCGACGCGUUGUCCGCCGCUCGUUUGCCGACCAGCAGUAGGGGCCCUCCGGCCCCCAAAGGCACGUGUCGUUGGCUAAGCCCUCGCGGCGGACGAGCCGCGCGGGCCGCCUUGAAUUACAAUUUCCACCGGGCGGCGGACUGAAUCCUUUGCAGACGACUUAAAUACGCGACGGGGUAUUGUAAGUGGCAGAGUGGCCUUGCUGCCACGAUCCACUGAGAUUCAGCCCUUCGUCGCUCCGAUUCGU
rfam:Ricinus communis cultivar Hale ctg_1100012347434, whole genome shotgun sequence.